GACGAACGCUGGCGGCAUGCCUAAUACAUGCAAGUCGAGCGAACAGAUGAAGUGCUUGCACUUCUGACGUUAGCGGCGAACGGGUGAGUAACACGUAAGGAAUCUACCUAUAAGCGGAGGAUAACAUUCGGAAACGGGUGCUAAUACCGCAUAAUAUCUUCUUCCGCAUGGAAGGAGAUUGAAAGACGGCUCUGGUGUCACUUAUAGAUGACCUCGCGGUGCAUUAGUUAGUUGGUGGGGUAACGGCCUACCAAGACGAUGAUGCAUAGCCGACCUGAGAGGGUGAUCGGCCACAUUGGGACUGAGACACGGCCCAAACUCCUACGGGAGGCAGCAGUAGGGAAUCUUCCGCAAUGGGCGAAAGCCUGACGGAGCAAUGCCGCGUGAGUGAAGAAGGCCUUCGGGUCGUAAAACUCUGUUAUAAGAGAAGAACAAAUUGUAGAGUAACUGCUACAGUCUUGACGGUAUCUUAUCAGAAAGCCACGGCUAACUACGUGCCAGCAGCCGCCGUAA
rnacentral:rRNA from 1 species